GUCAUUCCUGGGAACAGGAGAGGAAUACUAUACUUUUUUUUUUUUUUAACUCACUGGCCCCCUCCAAAAAGAAGUUCCCUGCACCUUAUGAUGUGAUUAUGUAAUCAUACAACACAAUGGGGAUUACAUCAGGGUUCAUUAGCAUCACGCUGUUGUAAAUUUUGCCCUGCAUGCCUCUCUGUAUGUUAACCUAAAAGGCCGGGCCGGCAGCGGUGGGAUUACGCAAAGGUUAUUUGUGCUGGACAGGGAGGUUUAUCUCGCCAGGUAUAAAAGAUGCGAUGCCUGGCAGGCAGACGAGAGAGAGCAGCUAACAUCUUUGCUUUUGGCCCACUGGAAUAUUUGGAGAAACUUCACUCUGACAUCGGUUGAAUAAAAUCUUUUCCCAAUCA